UACAGAGGUCUCAAGCGUUGUUCGGAUUCAUUGGGCGUAAAGGGUGCGUAGGCGGCGCGGUAAGUCGGGUGUGAAAUCACGGAGCUUAACUCCGAAACUGCAUUCGAUACUGCCGUGCUUGAGGACUGGAGAGGAGACUGGAAUUUACGGUGUAGCGGUGAAAUGCGUAGAUAUCGUAAGGAAGACCAGUGGCGAAGGCGGGUCUCUGGACAGUUCCUGACGCUGAGGCACGAAGGUCAGGGGAGCAAACGGG
rnacentral:rRNA from 1 species